rnacentral:rRNA from 1 species
UACGUAGGGGGCAAGCGUUGUCCGGAUUUAUUGGGCGUAAAGAGCGUGUAGGCGGCCAGAUAGGUCCGUUGUGAAAACUCGAGGCUCAACCUCGAGACGCCGAUGGAAACCAUCUGGCUAGAGUCCGGAAGAGGAGAGUGGAAUUCCUGGUGUAGCGGUGAAAUGCGCAGAUAUCAGGAAGAACACCCGUGGCUAAGGCGGCUCUCUAGUACGGUACUGACGCUGAGACGCGAAAGCGUGGGGAGCGAACGGG